rnacentral:rRNA from 1 species
AACGAACGCUGGCGGCAGGCCUAACACAUGCAAGUCGAACGCCCGUAGCAAUACGGGAGUGGCAGACGGGUGAGUAACGCGUGGGAACGUGCCCUUCGGUUCGGAAUAACUCAGGGAAACUUGAGCUAAUACCGGAUACGUCCGUAAGGAGAAAGAUUUAUCGCCGAAGGAUCGGCCCGCGUCGGAUUAGCUAGUUGGUGAGGUAACGGCCCACCAAGGCGACGAUCCGUAGCUGGUCUGAGAGGANGAUCAGCCACACUGGGACGUGAGACACCGGCCCAGACUCCUACGGGAGGCAGCAGUGGGGAAGUCUUGGACAAUGGGCGGCAAGCCUGAUCCAGCCAUGCCGCGUGGGU